AGAGUUUGAUCCUGGCUCAGGAUGAACGCUAGCGGCAGGCUUAACACAUGCAAGUCGAGGGGUAUGGUUCUUCGGAACCAGAGACCGGCGCACGGGUGCGUAACGCGUAUGCAAUCUACCUUUCACAGAGGGAUAGCCCAGAGAAAUUUGGAUUAAUACCUCAUAGUAUAUUGGUCUCGCAUGAGAUUAUUAUUAAAGAUUUAUCGGUGAAAGAUGAGCAUGCGUCCCAUUAGUUAGUUGGUAAGGUAACGGCUUACCAAGACUACGAUGGGUAGGGGUCCUGAGAGGGAGAUCCCCCACACUGGUACUGAGACACGGACCAGACUCCUACGGGAGGCAGCAGUGAGGAAUAUUGGACAAUGGGCGCAAGCCUGAUCCAGCCAUGCCGCGUGCAGGAUGACGGUCCUAUGGAUUGUAAACUGCUUUUAUACGAGAAGAAACACUGGUUCGUGAACCAGCUUGACGGUAUCGUAAGAAUAAGGAUCGGCUAACUCCGUGCCAGCAGCCGCGGUAAU
rnacentral:rRNA from 1 species